UACAGAGGGUGCGAGCGUUGUUCGGAAUUAUUGGGCGUAAAGGGCUCGUAGGCGGCCAACUAAGUCAGACGUGAAAUCCCUCGGCUUAACCGGGGAACUGCGUCUGAUACUGGAUGGCUUGAGUGUGGGAGAGGGAUGCGGAAUUCCAGGUGUAGCGGUGAAAUGCGUAGAUAUCUGGAGGAACACCGGUGGCGAAGGCGGCAUCCUGGACCAUUACUGACACUGAAAAGCGAAAGCCAGGGGAGCAAACGGG
rnacentral:rRNA from 1 species